GGAUUAGAUACCCUGGUAGUCCACGCUGUAAACGAUGAAUACUAGGUGUGGGGGGACUGACCCCUUCCGUGCCGGAGUUAACACAAUAAGUAUUCCACCUGGGGAGUACGAUCGCAAGAUUGAAACUCAAAGGAAUUGACGGGGGCCCGCACAAGCAGUGGAUUAUGUGGUUUAAUUCGAAGCAACGCGAAGAACCUUACCAGGGUUUGACAUCCAACUAACGAAGCAGAGAUGCAUUAGGUGCCCUUCGGGGAAAGUUGAGACAGGUGGUGCAUGGUUGUCGUCAGCUCGUGCCG
rnacentral:rRNA from 1 species